AUUGAACGCUGGCGGCAGGCCUAACACAUGCAAGUCGAACGAGUGGCGGACGGGUGCGUAAUGUCUGGGAAACUGCCUGAUGGAGGGGGAUAACUACUGGAAACGGUAGCUAAUACCGCAUACCAUCGGAUGUGCCCAGAUGGGAUUAGCUAGUCGGUGGGGUAAAGGCUCACAUAGGCGACGAUCCAUAGCUGGUCUGAGAGGAUGACCGGCCACACUGGAACUGAGACACGGUCCAGACGCCUACGGGAGGGAGCAGUGGGGAAGAUUGCACAAUGGGCGCAAGCCUGAUGGAGCCAUGCCGCGUGUAUGAAGAAGGCCUUCGGGUUGUAAAGGACUGUCAGCGGAGAGGCGUUACCCGCAGAAGAAGCACCGGCUAACUCCGUGCCAGCAGCCGCGGUAAUUC
rnacentral:rRNA from 1 species